rnacentral:rRNA from 1 species
ACGCGUAUACAAUCUGCCUUUAAGCGGGGAAUAGCCCAUGGAAACGUGGAUUAAUACCCCAUAGUAUGUAGACUUCACCUGGAGAUUACAUUAAACAUUUAUGGCUUAAAGAUGAGUAUGCGUCCUAUUAGUUAGUUGGUAAGGUAACGGCUUACCAAGACCGCGAUAGGUAGGGGUCAUNANAGGGAGAUCCCCCACACUGGUACUGAGACACGGACCAGACUCCUACGGGAGGCAGCAGUGAGGAAUAUUGGACAAUGGAGGCAACUCUGAUCCAGCCAUGCCGCGUGCAGGAAGACGGCCCUAUGGGUUGUAAACUGCUUUUAUACGGGAAGAACCACAUCUACGUGUAGAUGCUUG